rnacentral:pre_miRNA from 1 species
AGCCUUGUGUAUCAGUGCUGAGAUUUCGUCACACACCAGAGCACAAGGGCUGAUGAGACUCGCAAGACACGUUCAACU